rnacentral:rRNA from 1 species
CCCUUAGAUGUUCUGGGCCGCACGCGCGCUACACUGACGAAUUCAACGAGCUUAUAACCUUGGCCGAAAGGUCUAGGUAAUCUCCAAAAUUCGUCGUGAUGGGGAUAGAUUAUUGCAAUUAUUAAUCUUCAACGAGGAAUGCCUAGUAAGCGCAAGUCAUCAGCUUGCGUUGAUUACGUCCCUGCCCUUUGUACACACCGCCCGUCGCACCUACCGAUUGAAUGGUCCGGUGAAGCCUCCGGAUUGGCGCGCACCUCGGUGCCGCCGAGAAGUUGGCUAAACCUUACCAUUUAGAGGAAGGUGAANUCGUAACA